GAAAAGAAACUAACAAGGAUUCCCCUAGUACUGCGAGUGAAGCGGGAAGAGCUCAAAUUUAAAAUCUGACGUGCCUCCGGUCGUCCGAGUUGUAGUCUGGAGAAGUGUUUUCCGUGUUGGACCGUGUACAAGUCUCUUGGAACAGGGCGUCAUAGAGGGUGAGAAUCCCGUCUUUGACACGGACUACCAAUGCUUUGUGAUGCGCUCUCAAAGAGUCGAGUUGUUUGGGAAUGCAGCUCAAAAUGGGUGGUAAAUUCCAUCUAAAGCUAAAUAUAGGCGAGAGACCGAUAGCGAACAAGUACCGUGAGGGAAAGAUGAAAAGCACUUUGGAAAGAGAGUUAAACAGUACGUGAAAUUGCUGAAAGGGAAACGCUUGAAGUCAGUCACGUCUGCCAGGACUCAGCCUCGCUUCUGCUUGGUGCACUUUCUGGUUUGAUGGGCCAACAUCAAUUUUGACCGCUGGAGAAAGGCUUUGGGAAUGUGGCACCUUUUGGUGUGUUAUAGCCCUUGGUUGUAUACAACGGUUGGGAUUGAGGACCGCAGCACGCCUUCAUGGCCGGGGGUAUCCCCACGUACGUG
rnacentral:rRNA from 1 species